GACGAACGCUGGCGGCGUGCUUAACACAUGCAAGUCGAACGGAAAGGCCCUGCUUGCAGGGUACUCGAGUGGCGAACGGGUGAGUAACACGUGGGUGAUCUGCCCUGCACUUCGGGAUAAGCUUGGGAAACUGGGUCUAAUACCAGAUAGGAACCAUCUUUAGUGUGGUGGUUGGAAAGUUUUUUCGGUGUAGGAUGAGCUCGCGGCCUAUCAGCUUGUUGGUGGGGUAAUGGCCUACCAAGGCGGCGACGGGUAGCCGGCCUGAGAGGGUGUACGGCCACAUUGGGACUGAGAUACGGCCCAGACUCCUACGGGAGGCAGCAGUGGGGAAUAUUGCACAAUGGGCGCAAGCCUGAUGCAGCGACGCCGCGUGGGGGAUGAAGGCCUUCGGGUUGUAAACUCCUUUCGCUAGGGACGAAGCUUUGUUGUGACGGUACCUAGAUAAGAAGCACCGGCUAACUACGUG
rnacentral:rRNA from 1 species